GCGCACCAGGCGAGAAACUUUACAAUGUGCGAAAGCACGAUAAGGGAACUCUGAGUGCCUCCUAAGGAGGCUGUUCUGAUGUCUAAAAGCAACAGAAGUAAGGGCUGGGUAAGACCGGUGCCAGCCGCCGCGGUAACACCGGCAGCCCAAGUGGUAGCCACGUUUAUUGGGUCUAAAGCGUUCGUAGCCGGCCAGGUAAGUUCCUUGGUAAAUUUAGCCGCUUAACGGUUAAGCUUUCAGGGAAUACUGCUUGGCUUGGGACUGGGAGAGGCCAGAGGUACUCCGGGGGUAGGGGUGAAAUCUAUUAAUCCCUGGGGGACCACCGGUAGCGAAGGCGUCUGACCAGACCAGGUCCGACGGUGAGGGACGAAGGCUAGGGGGCGCGAACCGGAUUAGAUACCCCU
rnacentral:rRNA from 1 species